CCCUCCUUGUCGCGCCCAGCCGGCCUCCGGUCCUUCUUCCCGGUUCCUGGUUGCCGCCUCGGAACGCAUGGCGUUGCACUUGCAGAGCCCGAGUUCCUUCCCCUACAGGAGGAGGACACCCGGUUCGUCGUGGUAACCUUCUACAAAUUCGUGCCCCUCGACGACCCCCACGCCGAGUUCGCCAGACACCUCAUCUUCCUCCAGUACUAUCGUGUUUCUGUCGGGACUCGGGAAGCUCAAGAGAGCGACCACCGCACUGGAGGCCGAAGGGAAGGGACGAGAUCGUUGAAUCGCAGGUGGACGGCUAGGAUUGGUCGCCUGAGGCGAGAAGGAUGAGUGAAGAGGAUAAGGCUGCUACUUCUGCUGAGCACCGAAGAGGGCCCCUAAGCUCAAUUAAAGGAUCCUCUCUUCUCUGUCCAGGAGGUCCGUAGCUGCUCAUCUUUGGCAUGAGCAUGAUCUUGAGAUCGGUAAGUUGGCACAACUAUCCUUUCUUGCUCUUCUAACUCUGUCAAAUAAGCAUACACAGGUCCUGAUGCUCCUGUUGUAUUCAAUGUUGUAAGUACCAUCAUUACCUUGGAACCGUUUGAGGUGUUAUAUGUUUGCUGAUGUGGGGAAUCAGGUUCUCUGGAACCUUCGAUUGGAAGAUGAGGGGUUUCAAUGGUGAUUCCGCAGUGUUUUCAGACCA